rnacentral:rRNA from 1 species
UACGUAGGCUGUUUAUUAAGUCAGAUGUGAAAGCCCCGGGCUUAACCUGGGAACUGCAUUUGAUACUGGUAAACUAGAGUAUGGUAGAGGGGGUAGAAUUCCUAGUGUAGCGGUGAAAUGCGUAGAUAUUAGGAGGAAUACCAGUGGCGAAGGCGGCCCCCUGGACCAAUACUGACGCUGAGGUACGAAAGCGUGGGUAGCGAACA